UGAUUAGUUGGGUAAAACCUGCGCAUCCAGAUAGCAGAGGGACGUUGAAACGGCGCCGAUUCUUGGUCAGAAUGGUCGGUUUCCGUCGUAAGUCAGAAAAUCAACGUUGAAACGGCGCCGUGAAACGUCGAUUUCUCCGCCGUCUGAGAGGGUCGAUUUAUCACUGUUGAAAUCACCGUGGGUAAAGGUUGAUCUGUCGACCGUCAGAGAAGGUCGAAUAUACGAUGUUGAACCAUCGUCACUUUUGCCGGCCAGUUUUCAACAUUGGUAGGAUGAGCAACUAAUUCUGGCCCGUAGCCAGGGGGGAUCGGAGGGUUCGUUCGAUCCCCCCCCGCGACACCGCGCCCCGGACACAUACACGCCCCUCAAGAUUACUCAAGAUUUAUUCAUUUGUUCAUGUCCGAUGAAUAUACAUUGAUUUCACAUUUAAAUUUACAAUAUCAAAUCCAGACUAAUCAAAAAAGAAAAGUAGACUAAGUGAGGACGAGUUAGAAAAACGGGUUCAUUUCUCCUAUGUUUAUGUUUACACGUUUUGUUCAGACUGCUUUACACCCCAAUCCAGUGGGUGGCGGUAAUGCUUGAGCAAUUGAUGCAUUAGACCCCUUUCACUGACGUCACCCGAAACCGGAAGUAAACAAACCCUGCGCCACAUUGGAAGACCAACAAACUCGUGAUUGGGGGAAAUAAAGGCAGCGCGCGAAUACCAGCUGUGAUUGAGACACAAGCAAACCAAGGAGCUUUCUGCCGGGAGACAGAGAGAGGAUUUAGCUGCUUUAUGCAGAGCGGAUCUAAAUACUUCAAGUCUAUUUUGUUACUGGUGUCUGCGCCGCAGGAGGAAUAUAGGCCACAAUUAUAAAUAAAUCAUAAAAUGUUUCUAAGAA